CACCAGCACCCCGAGUGGUCGGGACGUUUAUUGGGCCUAAAGCAUCCGUAGCCGGUUCUACAAGUCUUCCGUUAAAUCCACCUGCUCAACAGAUGGGCUGCGGAAGAUACUAUGGAGCUAGGAGGCGGGAGAGGCAAGCGGUACUCGAUGGGUAGGGGUAAAAUCCGUUGAUCCAUUGAAGACCACCAGUGGCGAAGGCGGCUUGCCAGAACGCGCUCGACGGUGAGGGAUGAAAGCUGGGGGAGCAAACCGG
rnacentral:rRNA from 1 species